UUAAAACAAAAUGCGACUAUGGCCAAAUGCAAUGACAGCUUGAGGAUUUUGCUGCUGCCACCAUCUGAGCAGAAACUACUUCAAAGGGCAUACCUCAAAGAUAUCAUGGGUUCAGUUCCAGACCACUGAAGUAAAGCAAAUAUUGUGAUAAAAGUCACACAAAUUUUUUGGUUUCCCAGUGCAUAUAAAAGGGAGCCUUAUCGAGGCAGUGUGCACCCAGCACAAGAGUGGCACCACCAGCUCCUUCUCUGGGAGCUACACUCAGCAUCUCAGCCUCAGGCCACCAUAACUUUAAACUGUAUCUGUGAACAUCUGUGCUUUAUCUUGCAUCCGUUAGCAAGAUGUCU